AGAGUUUGAUCAUGGCUCAGGACGAACGCUGGCGGCGUGCUUAACACAUGCAAGUCGAGCGGAAAGGCCACUUCGGUGGUACUCGAGCGGCGAACGGGUGAGUAACACGUGAGUAAUCUGCCCCUGGCUUUGGGAUAGCCACCGGAAACGGUGAUUAAUACCGGAUAUGACAGCUUCUCGCAUGAGUGGUUGUGGAAAGUUUUUCGGCCAGGGAUGUGCUCGCGGCCUAUCAGCUUGAUGGUGAGGUAAUGGCUCACCAUGGCUUCGACGGGUAGCCGGCCUGAGAGGGUGACCGGCCACACUGGGACUGAGACACGGCCCAGACUCCUACGGGAGGCAGCAGUGGGGAAUAUUGGACAAUGGGCGGAAGCCUGAUCCAGCAACGCCGCGUGAGGGAUGACGGCCUUCGGGUUGUAAACCUCUUUCAGCAGGGACGAAGCGCAAGUGACGGUACCUGCAGAAGAAGCACCGGGCCAACUACGUGCCAGCAGCCGCGGUAAUACGUAGGGUGCGAGCGUUGUCCGGAAUUAUUGGGCGUAAAGGGCUCGUAGGCGGUUUGUCGCGUCGGGAGUGAAAACCAGGUGCUUAACACCUGGCUUGCUUUCGAUACGGGCAGACUAGAGGUAUUCAGGGGAGAACGGAAUUCCUGGUGUAGCGGUGAAAUGCGCAGAUAUCAGGAGGAACACCGGUGGCGAAGGCGGUUCUCUGGGAAUGACCUGACGCUGAGGAGCGAAAGUGUGGGGAGCGAAACAGGAUUAGAUACCCUGGUAGUCCACACCGUAAACGUUGGGCGCUAGGUGUGGGGUCCAUUCCACGGAUUCCGUGCCGCAGCUAACGCGUUAAGCGCCCCGCCUGGGGAGUACGGCCGCAAGGCUAAAACUCAAAGGAAUUGACGGGGGCCCGCACAAGCGGCGGAGCAUGCGGAUUAAUUCGAUGCAACGCGAAGAACCUUACCUGGGUUUGACAUACACCCUGCCGCUCCAGAGAUGGGGCUUUCUUUUGGGGGUGUACAGGGUGGUGCAUGGCUGUCGUCAGCUCGUGUCGUGAGAUGUUGGGGUUAAGUCCCGCAACGAGCGCAACCCUCGUUCUAUGUUGCCAGCACGUAAUGGUGGGGACUCAUAGGAGACUGCCGGGGUCAACUCGGAGGAAGGUGGGGAUGACGUCAAGUCAUCAUGCCCCUUAUGUCCAGGGCUUCACGCAUGCUACAAUGGCCGGUACAAAGGGCUGCGAUCCCGUAAGGGGGAGCGAAUCCCAAAAAGCCGGUCUCAGUUCGGAUUGGGGUCUGCAACUCGACCCCAUGAAGUCGGAGUCGCUAGUAAUCGCAGAUCAGCAACACUGCGGUGAAUACGUUCCCGGGCCUUGUACACACCGCCCGUCACGUCACGAAAGUCGGCAACACCCGAAGCCGGUGGCCCAACCCUUGUGGAGGGAGCCGUCGAAGGUGGGGCUGGCGAUUGGGACGAAGUCGUAACAAGGUA
rnacentral:rRNA from 1 species